ACUAGAGCCAGUUGCUCUUUGUCGACAUACCCCUUCUGCUAGGGGUAUUUUUGUCUUUUCCAGUAUAGCUACACUUGGCAUUGAAUAUUCUACUGCUUAAUACAGUGCUUAUUAUUUCUCACAUAAGAACCGCCAAUUUUUGGUCUUCUUCCUGGUAACUCCUCUGCAUCUGGCUGUGAGAUUUCUAUUUGAAGAGGCAAACAUCGACUGUAACAAACUGGUGCAUGUAUGAUUGUUUAACUAAAAAGCUAUGUUCGACAAACAUCUCAAUCUUGAAUAUUCAUCUUCUGCAAUCAUUUUGUGCCUCACUUCGGAGAGUGCCUUAAUUGUUUCUCCAUCAUUGCAUCAGACUGUUCUAUUAUUUAUGGUGAGGUGCAUUUGAAUUUUGUUUUUUCUUGUGUGUUUGUAUUGUAUCAACUAAUAUUGCAUAUGUAGAGUUAUUUCUUUCUUGUCUCUUGCUCCGAUUUUUUGUAGUUCAUGUUAAUUUAGUUCAUUGUGGGAUGAAUUGAACUUCAAUCUCGGAAAAUAAGUGUUAUCGAUCUUCUUA